UACGGAGGGUGCAGGCGUUAAUCGGAAUUACUGGGCGUAAAGCGCACGCAGGCGGUUUGUUAAGUCAGAUGUGAAAUCCCCGGGCUCAACCUUGGAACUGCAUUUGAAACGGGCAAGCUAGAGUAUCGUAGAGGGGGGUAGAAUUCCAGGUGUAGCGGUGGAAUGCGUAGAGAUCUGGAGGAAUACCGGUGGCGAAGGCGGCCCCCUGGACGAAGACUGACGCUCAGGUGCGAAAGCGUGGGGAGCAAACAGG
rnacentral:rRNA from 1 species